CAAAUGGUAAUUCCUUAAUUCGCGCCAAACCCCCCUCCCACUCUCCCUCUUUCCCCAUUUUCCCAAACUCUCUGUAAUCUCUUGGGAUAAAAAAAAUAAAUAAAUAAAAAAAUAAAAAAAACCUUCAAUAUUCUACCCUAAUCUCACUACUCUCUCCCUCCCUCUCACCCAGUCGUCACUCUAUCUGUCUUUGGCCGCCAUUGAAGUUUAAGCUUUGAGCUUCAACCGAGUAAGAUCAGUUGGUUUUUGGCAUUAUCGACCUGAAAUAGAGAUAGAUCAGUUGAUUUUCCGCGUCAACCGCUGCAUAGAAAACGAAGAGAAAGGAAGGGACGAGAGACUCAGCGAAGAAUAACACUUCCUCCCUUAAAUCAGGUUUGGAGAUUCAAACUAGGGUUUUAAUUCGGGGAUCUCAGAGGAAAAAAAUCAUUGGGGAUUUCAAUUGGAAAGCCUUGAGAAUGUCUAAUUGGGUUUAGCAGUGAAGAUGACAUUAUUUCUUCCAAGAGCUCUUGUUCGAAAUACUUGAGCUUGCCACCAUUCACAUCAAUUUGCGGCAGAGGAUUUUCAUGGCUUUCAGGAGCAAGUGAUGAGUACAUCUUCUAGAAGCCAUAAAAUGGUGGUUCGUGUACAACGCAUUGAAGCUGCACUUGCUCUACUUGAGAAGGUCAUACUGGCCCAAAAAAGCCACUUACAUUUUGCUUACACAGCUGUUGCUUUGCAGGUUAUAAUUGGCAUUCUCAUCUCCAAAAUGAGCAAAAUCACUUUAUUUAUGGUGACUUGUCAAACUUUAUUAUGGAUUCCUAUGAAGAAUGUAGUGAUCCACCACGUCUUCAGAUGCAACCCUUUUGAGUACGCGAUGAUAUCUUCGCAUAUCGAUAUUGGAGCUUACUGCUGAUAUUAAAACAAGCUAUAAUUUAUAUGUUUUUUUAUUUGUAUUGUCAAUACUUUUGUUUUGCUUUAGAUACAAAUAUAAGUUCUUGAAUAUAAAAAUUAUUAGUAUUGUUGGAAGAUAUUUUAUAUAUUUUUGUAAAGAAUAUUUGGUUGACAAUUGUUACAAGGUACAUAUAUACGUAUGAUUUUGUGAA